AUAUCAGUCAUGCAUAGCAUAUCAAUAAGCGGAGGAAAAGAAACUAACAAGGAUUCCCUUAGUAACGGCGAGUGAAGCGGGAAGAGCUCAAAUUUGAAAUCUUCAAGGUUUUACCUUGACGAAUUGUAGUUUAAAGAAGUGUUUUCUGUUGAAGUUUUGGUAAAAGUUCUUUGGAAUAGGACAUCAUAGAGGGUGAGAAUCCCGUAUUUGACCAUUACUUUCAGCUUUGUGAUACACUUUCAAAGAGUCGGAUUGUUUGGGAAUGCAGUCCAAAAUGGGUGGUAAAUUUCAUCUAAAGCUAAAUAUUGGCGAGAGACCGAUAGCGAACAAGUACCGUGAGGGAAAGAUGAAAAGAACUUUGAAAAGAGAGUUAAACAGUACGUGAAAUUGUCAAAAGGGAAGCGUUUGACACCAGUGUUGUUUUCUCGAAAAUCAAUUAAAAAGAGUUGGAUUUUGUGUUGUAUUGACUUUAUCAGCUUUCUUCACUCUUUUCCAGCUUUUUUUAAUGCACUUUUCGUUUAACAAGUCAACAUCAGUUUCUUUUGUUGUAAAAAGGUCAUUGGAAGGUGGCUUUCUCUUCGGAGAAAGUGUUUAUAGCCUUUGACUCAUGCAAUCGGAGAGACUGAGGUCUGCAGCGUAGAUCCUUCGGGGUUAGAUACAUUUGUGCUAAGUUAUAGCUUUUCAUAGACAACUUGUUGACUAUGUUUAGUCUUGUAGCUUACUCGCUUAUGCUAUUUUACCUACGCUUAGGAUGUUGAACUCUAUCACACACA
rnacentral:rRNA from 1 species